rnacentral:lncRNA from 1 species
GAUUUUUUUAACUCACAUAUUUGCCAUCUUGGUUCCUCUUCUUUACUUUCUGCACUCCAUCCAGGGAUCAUUUUCCUCUUUUCCUGAAAAAUACCCAGUAGAGUGUGCUCUAGUGGGUGUCUGUGGUGAACUUCUCAAUUUUGUGUGGGUUUUGUUUUGAGAAAAAACCCAGGGGUACUCUACCACCGAGCUACAUCCCCAGUCCUUUUUUAUUAUUUUGAGAAAUGGUCUCUUACAUUGCUGAGGCUGUCCUCAAAUUUGUGACCUUCCUGCUUAAGCCUCCUGAGCUGCUAGGAUUACAGGCAUGAGCCAUCGCAUCCAGUCUGAGAAUGUUUCCUUAUGAUACGUUUUUUAAAGAGUUAAUCCUUUACCUUUUAGUAUUGGGUGGCAUUAUGCCAGAGUAAAUAAAUGCUUUGCUUUUCCCCUGAAUCUCCCAUGCUUAUGAUACACAGGGCAUUUCAAUUAAUCCUCAGACACCCACACUACAGCAUAUAUUGAAUAUAUAUACUAUCCUUCCUGUAUUUUCUAUACAGCAUGCCCUUACUCUGGUUUACUAAGUAUUAAAUGUAUCAAAAAGCCAUUUCAUCAACUCUUCCAAUCUUUAUCUCACCCAUUUAAAAGAAAAUCAGAUUUGAUGUUUUAAAAAUUUUGUGUUUCAAUAGUUUAUUAUGGAAAAUGUCAAACCUAAAUACAGGGCAUCUAUAGUAACAAAACAGACCAGUGGUUGCCUCUGGAGGUGGAUAUUAACUCAUAAAGGGUAGGAAAGAACUUCUUGGGUUGAUGAAAAUAUUUCAUAUCUUGAUUGGAGUGUGUGUUGAUGGGUGUAUACAAUAGUCAUCAAAUGGGCAGCUUAAAAUGUAUGCAUUGUAUUGUAUAUAAGUUAUGUCUCAAUUAAAA